AUUGAACGCUGGCGGCAGGCCUAACACAUGCAAGUCGAGCGGAUGAAGGGAGCUUGCUCCUGGAUUCAGCGGCGGACGGGUGAGUAAUCCCUAGGAAUCUGCCUGGUAGUGGGGGCUACCGUCCGGAAACGGGUGCUAAUACCGCAUACGUCCUGAGGGAGCAAGUGGGGGCACUUCGGCCCUCACGCUAUCAGAUAAGCCUAGGUCGGAUUGGCUAGUUGGUGGGGUAAAGGCCUACCCAGGCGACGACCCGUAACUGGUCUGAGAGGAUGAUCAGACAGACGGGAAGUGAGACACGGUCCAGACUCCUACGGGAGGCAGCAGUGGGGAAUAUUAGAGAAUGGGCGAAAGCCUGAUACAGCCAUGCCGCGUGUGUGAAGAAGGUCUGCGGAUUGGAAAGCAAAUUAAGUUGGGAGGAAGUGCAGUAAGUUAAUACCGUACUGUUUUGACGUUACCAACAUAAUAAGCACCGGCUAACUUCGUG
rnacentral:rRNA from 1 species